CCAGGCUCUGGCUCACUCCCUCUGCCGACAUCUGAGGAACCCCCCGAAGCCGGGUCUGCAACACCCCUCCUGAGUCCUCCCCCACUGCCCUGCCACAGCUUCUUGGUGGGACUCUAGGGGGCGAGGGGGUGCAACUGGACACCCAUUUCACAGAUGCCCCCCCAGCCAACUGGUACAUCUAAUGCAGCACAAAGCUCAGACCGCCAAGACUGGGAACGGGGACCCCAGCUCUGCCACCUCCCCUCCAUGCCUCACUGAAGCCUUGUGCAGAUUGAACAAGCUGAAAUAGAAAUACGCUUGGAGCAGGGUGUGGCAUACAGGAAGCGCCAUGCAGCAUAAACACCCUUGAGAUCAUCCAAGUAGUGGCGAGUAUCGGCAGCUCAUUCGUCUUAUCGCUCAGUGGUAUUCCGCGGUGUGGAGGGGCCACGGUUUGCUGAACCGGUCGACUAUCGAGAGGCAUCUGCGCUGUUUCCAAUUUGGAGCUGUUAUGAAUAAAGCUGCUACAGGUUUCCAUGUG
rnacentral:lncRNA from 1 species